GAUGAAGAACGUAGCGAAAUGCGAUAAGUAAUGUGAAUUGCAGAAUUCAGUGAAUCAUCGAAUCUUUGAACGCUCAUUGCGACCCCUGGUAUUCCGGGGGGCAUGCCUGUUCGAGCGUCAUUUCACCACUCAAGCCUCGCUUGGUAUUGGGCAACGCGGUCCGCCGCGUGCCUCAAAUCGACCGGCUGGGUCUUCUGUCCCCUAAGCGUUGUGGAAACUUUCGCUAAAGGGUGUUCGGGAGGCUACGCCGUAAAACAACCCCAUUUCUAAGGUUGACCUCGGAUCAGGUAGGGAUACCCGCUGAACUUAAGCAUAUCAAUAAGCGGAGGA
rnacentral:misc_RNA from 1 species